rnacentral:rRNA from 1 species
ACGUAGGGGGCGAGCGUUGUCCGAAGUUACUGGGCGUAAAGCGCGCGUAGGCGGUUGCUUAAGUUAGAUGUGAAAUCCUGUGGCUCAACCACAGAACUGCAUCUAAAACUGGGCAGCUUGAGGACGGAAGAGGGCAGUGGAAUUCCUGGUGUAGCGGUGAAAUGCGUAGAUAUCAGGAGGAACACCCGUGGCGAAGGCGGCUGCCUGGUCCGUAUCUGACGCUGAGGUGCGAAAGCUAGGGGAGCGAACGG